CACUCCUACGGGAGGCAGCAGUGGGGAAUAUUGGACAAUGGGCGCAAGCCUGAUCCAGCCAUGCCGCGUGAGUGAUGAAGGCCCUAGGGUUGUAAAGCUCUUUCACCGGUGAAGAUAAUGACGGUAACCGGAGAAGAAGCCCCGGCUAACUUCGUGCCAGCAGCCGCGGUAAUACGAAGGGGGCUAGCGUUGUUCGGAUUUACUGGGCGUAAAGCGCACGUAGGCGGACUAUUAAGUCAGGGGUGAAAUCCCGGGGCUCAACCCCGGAACUGCCUUUGAUACUGGUAGUCUUGAGUUCGAGAGAGGUGAGUGGAAUUCCGAGGUUAGAGGUGAAAUUCGUAGAUAUUCGGAGGAACACCAGUGGCGAAGGCGGCUCACUGGCUCGAUACUGACGCUGAGGUGCGAAAGCGUGGGGAGCAAACAGGAUUAGAAACCCUUGUAGUCCCAUGA
rnacentral:rRNA from 1 species